rnacentral:lncRNA from 1 species
GGACGAGAUGAUUGAUGAAAAAUCGGACAUUUUUUUUCUUUUCCCUCUUGUUAUGGCUUGAAUACUGAUAUAAUUUCACUUUAAUAAGACAAUAAGUCAGAACUCAGUUAUAUCAGUAGAGAUUUCAAGACCCUGAAAAUUUUAAUAUCCAGAUCACGGAACAUCUUGCCGUUUGAUUACCUUAGAACGUUCAUACACAUCCGUCACAACUCGGCUGAUUCCGUACCUUGAUACAGACGGAGAGUACCGGAUUCACCCGAGGAUUGCUGAUUGGUUCAUUACAGUCAAAGUAACAUUUUGAAAAGUUUGGAGUAAGACUAAUGUGUCAGCUAAUAAGUCGAUUCCAAUAUUUCCCGGAGAAUUAUUAUCUAGUAAGCAAACACAUUGAAAAUCCACAGUAAUUUUUCGAUCAAGUACAAAGUACGAAAUUAUAAUAUGUUGUUGUCUUGAAUAUACACGAUUUGAGAUUGAUCGUACUGGACAUUAAGAUGUAUAGAUUCCAGUCUCCCUGGUACCGUGAAAAAGGAAGUGUUCAAAAUCCAAUUCAAGCAUAGAGUUUUCUAGUUAAAUUUAUUUGUAUUGUUACUACAUAGUUAAUAAUAAAUGUCAUAAAUUUUUUAUGCACAAUAUGUUACCCAUUGUGCAUGUUGUAUGUCAAGCAAUUAUCAACCGGGAUCUCACAUAAAUUUUACUAUUUUAUAUAAAAAAGAAUAUUUGUGAUGUGUCAGGUUUACAACAUUGUAUAACCUGCCGUCUUAAAUCAGUUUUAUAAUCAUAUUCUACAAAAAGUUUUUUUUUUUUCAUUUUCAUAAUGUAACAGGUUUCGGUACAUCGACGAAUUUAUUGAUCAUGCAGUUGACGCUUAAGACUUACAUGCAUAUAAAUUAUAUGUAAUAAAAAUGUUUAUAAUGAAUAUUUUUUGAAUAAAAUGUAUACAUAAAUUUGAACACAACAAAAGCAAUUCGUCUAAUAACUUUGAUGUGUUUAUUGCUUGGUCAAUGAUGAUGAUGAUGAUAUUAUGGUUUAUGGUCAAGUGGCAAAUAUUACAUGCAUAGAUUAUCAGAACAGGAAAUUAUAAAUAUACAAAUGUAAUAUAUCUAUGCUUUUGUAAAGGUAAAGGUCCUUGUACGACUUUGCCCCCCGCAGAGCUGAAGAAAAACAAUACAUUAACGGGUGUUACACGGACUCUUUUUAGAUGACACACGGACUCUUUUUAGUUGUUACACGGACACUUUUUAUGAAUAGAAUCACUCGUGCAUGAUCAGUGAGUUCAUGGGCACUUUAACUUUCAAUUAGAUUUGAACUUUUUGGUUAACCGACAUAUUUCCUGUAUUUUUAUUGAACAAAAUAUUUACGUUAGCAUUAAUAUCUUUUUCAAACAUUUCCAGUAAAAUACUAUUCAUAUCAGUACACUAAGGGAUUAGACAUUUAACUUCAAAAAAGGGGGGGUAUGGCUAUCUCCUAAAAAAGAUAUUUUGAUCCCAAAUUGUAUGAGAAAAAAAUUAGUAUGGUCAAGCAGAUGAAAAAUUAAUGUUUUGCACGAUUCCUAAUUUUCCGAAUACCGUAAAUAGUGAUAAUUUAAACAAAAAAAAAAAUGGGGGAUGGCUUUGAAAAGUAAAUAGUUAAUAUUCUCAAAAUAGAACAUACCGCCCCCUUUAUGAAGAAAAUAUUCGGUCAAUAAAUGUUUUCUUCAAUAUAUGGAUAUGAAUAGUAUUUUGGACAAUGUUGAAAGUAAAGAAAUUAUGAUACUGACGUGUAUAUUUCAAUAAAAAUAAGACAAGAAAUAAGUAAAUAAAAAUCAAAUCUUUUCAAAAGAUAAAAUCCCUAUCAACUCACCAAAACACGAUUGAUCCUAUAAACAAAAAGUGUUCAUGUAAUACACGUCAAAAUAAGCUGCAAAUCUAGAAGAAAAUCAUUCAACUAAGUCAUCAAUUGUGGGCGGUAAGCUGCGAUUUGAUCAUAAUGUAACACGUGUUUAUUCCCGAUCAACACUUGCAGAUCUAUAGACGAGCAUGAAUUAAAAAAAAAUUAAAGUAUAUGCCCAAAUAUAAUAUUAAGAUAAAAUCCAAACACAAAAUCCAUUUUUUCAUAAACAUUUCAUUCACUAAUGAAGAAGGAAAUUCAUUCUUUUGAUACAUUUAUAUUGUUAUCGAAUUUAUAUCAGUGGCGGAUCCAGGUCCAAAUCAUCGGCCAGGACAAAAUAGGGGGAAGGGGGGCCAACUUUAUGUCCCCAUUUAAAUGCAUUGAUCAUGCAAAAAAGGGGUGUUCCAACCCCGGGACCCCCACCACUGAAUAUUAAAUUCAUGUAUUUGGCAACAAACGUUCGAUUUUUACGAUUUUUUUUUAAGGGGGGAUGGGCGGAUGGAAUGGCACAUCCUGCAUUUUUUCAUUAAAAAAAAAGAUCACAGCCUGUUAUUUUUAAAAUGAAUUAGCCCCUCCCCCUCCCGCUUUCCGUUUCAUCCAUAAAAAUCAAACGUUAUCCUACUUACCACUAAAAUAUUUCUUUAAUAUACUACUUUUUCACGAAGUUGCAUUUUAAAAAGUUUUAAUCUUUUACUUGAAACGGUUCUUUUUAUAUCAAAUUAUUAGAUUCCUGAUUUUUUUUUUCUUGAAAAAAAAUCUCGAUUGAAGGGAAAUGAAAAAAAAGGUGUUUAUACUAUAACUUACAUUUACUGCUUUAUGGCUAUCUAAAUUUCUCAAAUGUUUAGUCUUGCAAAAUGUAUUAUUACUUUCUUACAAACGUCGUACAAGUCAGAUAAAAAACAAAAGUAACAAAAGAAACAGGCCGGUAACAACCAGCCGAAUAGUUUUUCUGCACUUGUAGUCAGGUCAAGGUCCUCGGCUAUCGCCUCGGACCUUGACCUGACUACUCGUGCAGAAAAACUAUCCGGCAACGGUUGUUACCGGCCUGUUUCUUUGUUACCUUUGUAUUUUAUCUAAUACUUAAUUGAUUUCAAAAUUACAUAUAAAGUUGUUAACGUGCAAUAAUUUAACAACUGUUCACCUAUAAAGUUUCAAUGAUCUCAAUUUUACGGGUGAAGACAGGGCUGUCAAAGGUAGUAUUGAGUGUGUUAUUGACCCAGUUUUCAUUUCACUGGUUAAGUUACUUUAUCGCUUUAACAAUAAAACCAAUAACUGUACCACGUUUUCAUAUACACAAAAUAAAAUAAACUAGCUAUUAGACCAUUGGUUUUCCCGUUUGAAUGGUUUUACACUAGUAAUUUUGGGGCCUUUUAUAGCCUGUUGUUCGGUGUGAGCCAAGGCUCCGUGUUGAAGGCCAUACAUUGAACAAUAAUGGUUUACUUUUAUACAUUGUUAUUUGGAUGGAGAGUUGUCUCAUUGGCACUCACACCACAUCUUCCUAUAUCUAGCUAGCAUGAUUAUGUAUUAAAUUUCAGUUUGAAAUAUAUUUUCUGCAAAUUUAAAAACACAAAUUCAAAAAAUCUUAAUUUUUGUGAUAUUUAUAAUGAAAAUAAGAUAAAUAACUCGAUUUUGUCUUAUUUUUAAUAUGUUAUGAAAGAUUACUAAAGAUGAUACAUUCUACAUGAAAAAUUGCACGUAUUACAUCUUUCUUCUUCUUUACAUCUCAAUUUACUCAUUAUAAUAAUCAAUAUCUACUUUUUUGUUGUAAUUGUUACAGAUUGUUGGCUCAGAAUUAUGAUUAACAUAUUUCAUUUCAAUUUACAUAAUAUAUCAUAUAUGUAAAAAGAAACUUGUACUUAACAAGCAGUUAAAUUACUAAGUUUAAUAUUUAUGAAACGUUUCCAAAUCAGUUGAAAAAAGUACAGUCACAAAAAUACUGAACGGAAAGUCCCUAUUCAAAUGGCAAAAUCAAAUGAUAAAACACUUCAAACGAAUGGAAUUGAAUAAAUCAUGUAAAUAGUGCUUUUAUUUGUCUUAUAAUUUUAUUUAAUAUAUAUUUUACUAAUAAUUUUAUUUAAUGCAUAUUUAACUACAUGUAAUAAUUUCAUUUAUUAAUAAUAUAUAUUUUAAUAAUAAUUUUAUUUAUUAAUAAUAUAUAUUUAACUAAUAAUUUCAUGUAUUAAUUAUAUAUAUUUGACUAAUAAUUUUAUUUAUCAAUAAUAUAUAUUUAACUAAUAAUAUUAUGUAACAUGUUUGAUAUAUAUUUAACUAAUAACAUUAUGUAACAAGUUUGAUAUAUAUUUGACAAAUAAUAUUAUUUAAUAAAUGUUUAAAUAAUAUGAUUAAUCAUAUAUAUUUAACUAAACAAACAACCACAUAACACGGAAGUGGGGUAUGUUAACUUUUAUAUCAUGCAUGUCAAAUGCAUUUCGAAUGUUUUAGCGACAAAAAUAUAUUAGUUUCAAUGUAUGAAUGUGCGAGUAUACGCAGAUCACAAAAAGGGUAUUUCAAAUCAGAACAUUGUUCAAAUCAUAUAGCAGUAAAUAAAAUAACGCAACUCGGAUUAAACACACAAUUGAAUAGAGGCAAAUCACAUUACAUCAUAUUUACACUUGCUCGUGUGAAUAUUUAAGUACAUUUGUAUUAGGUCAGUUAGGUCAAUGAAUUAUAGUAGUCAACACUUCUCUGGUAUUUGAAUUUGUCGAUUCCUAGAGUUACAUGUAAAUGAAUAUGAAAAGUUUUUCAAGUAGAAGAUACCAAAAUCCAAGAGUAAAAAAAUAUACACCAUAUACAGUGUCAUGCUUGGAAUAUAAUCUUGAGUAAAAUAAUUGUAAUAAAAGUUUAUAGUCCAAAGAAUUGGUCUCGCGAUCCAAAUCACAAACAACAUAAAUAUUAAGAUAUAUUGUUGCACCAUAUUAUUAUUAUCACACGUCAUACACUGCUCGUCAUGAUUACCUGAAAAAUAUUAAAAAAGUGAAAUAAAAUCUAAAGGAGAAGACAUAUACAGUAGAUGGAUAUUAAUACGACAGAUAUUUUGCGUUAUUUUUAAUACUUUUUGGAAUUUUGGGUCCUCAUUGCUCUUCAUUUUGUACCUGUUUGGAUUUAUAACUAUUUUGAUCUGAGCGUCACUGAUGCGUCUUAUGUAGACGAAACGCGCUUCUUGUGUAUUAAACUAUAAUCCUGGAACCUUUGAUAACUAUUUACACCACUGGGUCAAUGCCACUGCUGUUGGACGUUUUGUCCCCAAGGGUAUCACCAGUACAGUAGUCAGCACUUUGGUGUUGACAUGAAUAUCAAUUAUAUGGUCAUUUUUUUUAUUAAUAAUUUCCUGCUACAAAACUUUGAAUUUUUCGAAAAACUAUGGAAUUUCUUAUCCCAGUAAUAGAUUACCUGGGCCGUAUUUGGCACAACUUCUUGGAAUUUUGGAUCCUCAAUGCUCUUUAACUUUGUAUUUGUUUUGCUUCAUAACUCUGUUGAUCUGAGCGUCACUAAUGAGUCUUAUGUAGACGAAACGAGCGUAAGGCGUAUUAAAUUAUAAUCCUGGUACCUUUGAUAACUAUUAAUACAGAUUUGUCUAACCUUUAGUAACCUUUCAUACAGAAUAAAAAACCAAAACCACAUUAAACAAAAUAGGACAGCACAUUAAACAGCACAAAAUAAGCAUGCAUUGUCAUUGACUAGAUACGGUACAAAAGUGACGUCACUUAAUUCUAUAUAACUUUUGGACUAUUUUAAAUCUCGGUCUAUUUCUGAAAUUUAUACUUACAUACUUUUGAUUUUUUAACCCUGUAUGCUAACAUUGCCUAUGUGAAAUUUUAAUUUUUUUUGUAUGUACAUUGAACGACAAAUAUAUGUGACGUAUAACAUUUUCUGGCGUCAGACACGCAAAUCAAUGAAUGUGUUUGUAGAUAGAUGUUUUUGUUUUCUGUUAAAUUGUUCCUUUUAAAAUUGUUAUCAGAUGAUGACUGCUGUACCCAUAUUUUGACUAUUUUAUUUAUUGUGUCAUUUUAGUUAACGCAUCUUUGUAAAUAUAACGAAAUUCGAUGAGACUGUCAUCAAAGUGAGAGGUUUAGCGCUAUCAAACCAGGUUUAAUCAACCAUUUUCUACAUUUAAAAAUGUCUGUACCAAUCAUGAUAUGACAGUUCGUGUCCAUUCGUUUUGAUGCGUUUUGUUAUUUGAUCUUGCCAUGUGUAUGACUUUCCAAAUUAUUUCCCUGAGGUCAGUAUUUUUGUGAUUUACUUUUUUUCACAGGUAAUUUUUAAACUGUUGAUAUCAGAGUUUUUAUUAUGGUAUUUGAUUUAUAUUACAACAAUGAUAAUUUACUUAAUAGAGAGUUGUGUUAGAAAUUAGAUAAUUAAUUGUAUUAUCUAGCUAUGUCGAUAUUUCUUCUUAACCAAACUAUCAAAAAAAAAAAAAAUCGUACACGUUUAGUUGUCCCAAACUAAAAUCUUAUAUUAUACGAGUAGAAUAUUAAAAACAUAGAAUUACAACUAUGAAAUGUUUAUUUCAAACUGAAAUUGAAUAAUUAUCGUGUUAGUUUACGUAAUCUGGUUUGUACUGCAACAAGUUUUUAUUUAUUUCCUAAAUAUAGUAACACAGAUAUAUUUGGUGCAAUGUCGAUUUCAUCAUGGAACACUUUCUCCACAAUCAGAGGUUCCUUAAAGGAUAAAAAUAAGUUUAGAAUUAAUUUUACAAUUUAAAAAGCUAUUAACGUAAGAUUUAAGAUGCAGUUUAAAGACAAUAUUAGGUCAAUGUCAAAAAAAUAUAAACCUUUAUGUAUUGUGCGCAAAAAUGAACCUCGCCCUUUUACAUUUUCGAAUCCUCAUACAAAAAAGUUUAUACUUUUCUGACAUUUACCUUAUAUUGUAUAUGUAUAUGAAAUAAUGUGUAAAAUAUUCUGUUCGCAUUAAUCAAAUUAAAACAAGUUAUAAGCAAAAGAAAACCAAGUAGAAACCCUCCCGUUAGGGGUUUAUUAACAUACCAUCAAAAAAUAUAUCAGAAGAACAUAUCAUGCCAAGAAUCGAUGUGUUUAUUUCCGAUGCAAAGACCCUAUUAGUGAAUCAUCAUUAAUACUAAAAAAUUCAAUCUUUAAUAACGGUAUCGUAACUUUAUCCUUUUCAAAUAAGUCUGUUCAAAGGUUUAGUUAGCUUUGGGGUGAAAACCGAUAUUUUUCGGCUUUAUAAAGAAUAUUUACAUAAAAUAUUGGAUGUGAAAUACCUGAUUGUAUAAGAUAGUCUGCAUGUUGAUUUAUAUUUACGAAUGAAGUCCGUGUAAUGAUGAUAAAUGCAAACCUAAUUUAUAAUAUAAGUAUCAAUAUUAAGUUUUUCAAUAGAAUUCUUAAGCUUAUAUGCUGGGUAAAUAGUUAUCAAAGGUACCAGGAUUAUAAUUUAAUACGCCAGACGCGCGUUUCGUCUACAUAAGACUCAUCAGUAACGCUCAGAUCAAAACAGUUAAAAAGCCAAACAAAUACAAAGUUGAAGAGCAUUGAGGACCCAAAAUUCAAAAAAGUUGUGCCAAAUACGGCUAAGGUAAUCUACUAAAUCUGGGGGUAAGAAAAUCCUUAAAUUUGUUAUGCAUAUAUAUCGGUUUGUAGGGGAAAAGUGUUAGUGGAAGUUUCACAGAAUUUGGUGCAUAUAGAAUAUUGGGAACAAAAUUUGCUUGAUAUUAUAUUUGCGCUAGUUUUUAAUACAGAUUUCUUUAAUCCGUCGGACAUAUUCAAAUAAGCAAAAUCGAGUUAUUUACUUAUAUAUAUGUUGUUUCGUUGUUUCCCUUGCUUUUAUUGUUGAUGUGUUUACUUCAGUUUUAGCUUGUAACCCAGGUUUGUUUUCUCUCAAUCGAUUUGCGACCUUCGAACAGCGGCAUACUACUGUUGCUUUAUUUACCUUGUUUUCAUGUUUAAAGAAACACAAGAACCUUUCUGUUACUUUUCUCUUCUUUUUUUAUUGUAUUUGAAAAACAUUAAGAUGGUUCACAGAUACUUUAGAACAAGUAAUCUUGAUGAACAGUUCUAGAGAUGCAUAUCAAAUGUACAUCUGUAAAGCUAUAUAUAAACUGUAUAGCUGUAAAGCUGUAUAAGAACUGUACAUAUGUAAAGAGGUAUAUAAACUGUACAUAUGUUAAGCUGUAGAUAAACUAUACAUCUGGAAAACUGUAUAUAAACUGUACAUUUUUAAAGCUGUAUAUAAACUCUGGAAAAAUGUACAUUUACUGCAAAAUUUUAAAUCUGUGUAUAAGCUAAACAUAUAGAUACUACCACUCCACCUUGUGUAAUACGAUAUCUAUCCACAGUUUAUAUACAGCUUUACAGGUGAAUAUUUGAUAUGCAUCUUUAGAAUUGUUCAUCAAGAUUACUUGUACAAAAGUAGCUGUGUACCAUCUAGACCUUUAUAUAUAUAUGCGUCUAAAGAAAUUGACAUAUAAUUACCUUUUUGAUCUUUGAUGAGAACACAUCCCUUCAUGUUCCAAAGCAGGAUCACAGUAAGUGGAGCAUAAACUAGCACAUAUUCUAAAGCAUAACUCACAAUUGUUAUCAUAUUGCUUAAUUCCGGUUUGUUAAACUUUACUUGGCUAUAAAUUGCAUCUUGGUGUUUGAAACCGUAAAGACCAAUUCCAAAAACUAGCAAUAAAACAGUUGAAAUGAAACUUCCAUUUUGAAAUAUUUUUGUUCUAAACUCCUCUUUUGUAAAUUCAGUCAUACACACCACUCCAAAAGUCAAUAUAAAACAGGCAACAGGAAAAGUGUACCAAUCGAACACGAACUCAGUUAUUCCAUCUAGAUGAUAUGUUGAUUUUAGCCAGUUGAUUGACACAAAACUAUGAUGAAUGAAUCCGAUAAACAAAGCGAGGAAUAAACCGUGAGAGUUGGUGUGGUCAUACUUCAAGAAUAUCGAUAGAAAUAAUAGAAAUAUGAGUAUUCCCAAAACCAGAAAAAGUAAUAUGCAGGACAGAUGAGCAUUUUGAACGAAACUUUCAGAAAAGUUGAAUGAAAAAAUAUCGAACAUCAUUCACUCGUGCUGGCUUUCUUGUAUUUCCACUUCUGUUCUGACUUCCUGAUUCAUCGGCUUUUCACCUACAUUAAAUAAAGAUAUGAGAAAAUGAUUUUAUGAAUACAACUUAAGACAAACGGAAACACUUGUCAUUCGGUUCUAUUCUACUUUGUUGAUUUUUUACUUAGUAUGAUGUAUAAACCAGCACCGACUCUCUUUUGAAGAAGCCAGGUUAAUAUAUCAGUAAGAUUUAAAUGUCUUCAUGCGACUGUUAAAGAUAUUUCAAUUUUGUGUUUGAAUGAAUCCGAUUAAUAAAGCGAGGAAUAAACUGUGUGAAUUUGUGUGGUUCCUACUUUUAGAAUGUUGAUAGAAAUAAUAGAAUUAUGAGUAUUCCCAAAACCAGAAACUAUAAUAUGCAGGACAAAUGAACAUAUUCAACAAAACUUUCAGAAAAGUUGAAUGAAAAAAUGUCAAACAUCAUUCAAUCGUGAUUGCUUUCUUUUAUUUUCAAUUCUGUUCUGACUUCCUGAUUCAUCGGUUCAUCAGCUACAUUAAAACAAUGAGACGGUUUUAGUUCAAUUUGUAACAAACUGCAACACUUGUCAUACAAUUUAACAUUCCAGUUCGAUUUUGUAUUGGUUAUUACGAUCAGCGCAAAUAGUUGGUUUGUGAGAAUCCAUAAUAUUGUUGGUAAAAUGUAUAUGUGUGUUCCAUUUUGAUGAGAAAAGAACUCCAUGUUUUUUUUUUCAGUUACACAAAACAAAAAAUACAAAAAAAGUGGUUUUUAACGUGUGUAGUGUAUUGAUCUUGUAAAACACAAGGUAUAUAUUAAUUUUUUUUUAAUAUAAACUAGAACACACCCGUGAUAUCGCGGGUCCGUGACUGAAUUAAAGUACAUAACUAUGCGUAAUCCUUAUUUUAGUAUUAGUAUUGUCAUCUGAUAAAGUCAUUCCGAUUAUAAGAUACACAGUUUUCUCUGCUUUCAAACUCUUCCUGUCUGAACCAGUCGACCUUGAACUUAUCAAUAUUAAUUAUUUGGAAAACAAAAGGUCCUGGAAUGGAGUAUCUUUUAAUCAACAGCAGUGUCCUAUAUAAGUAUGAAUAAGUUGAAUUCUUUGAAUCGCUGUUUUACGUUAUGCCCGCUAACAAAUUGAAAACUGUACCUAUACGCCUUAUUUAAGUCCAGAUUUUACUUGAAGUAUUAAUUCGUAUUGUUAUCUUAGAAAGUCUUACUGAUUAAAAUACUACAAUAGGGAACAAUUUGACAAUGAUUGAAUGUAGUAGUGUCAACCCUGUGAUUAUGACCCGUGUAUAUAGCAAAAUCCUAAAUACACCGUUAAACUUUGACGGUGCACAUGUCAGAUGCGGAACGUACAGAUAAGAUAAUAGGUAACAGGUGAAUAUACUAUUGGUAUCGGUAUCGAUUCGACCCGGAACUUGUUAAUUAUUGGCAAUAUUAAUUAUGUGGAAAAGAACAGGGUCUGAAGUGGUGUAAUUUUUAAUCUACACCAUUAUCCUAUAUUAGCUAUAUAUAAAGUUCAAUUCUUUGAUUUGUCGUUUUUACCCGAUGACGGCUGAUAAAUUGGACCUCGUUAUUUUACUAUUAUAGAUAAAGCCUUUAGUUUUCUCGUUUGAAUUGUUUUACAUUGUCAAUUCGGGACCUUUUUUACUUUUUUAGCUGACUAUGCGGUAUGAUCUUUGCUCAUUUUUGAAGGCCGUAUGGUGACCUAUAGUUGUUAAUUUCUGUGUCAUUUUGGCCUCUUGUGGAAGGAUGUCUCAUUGGCAAUCAUACUACAUCUUCCUUUUCAUAUAAUAAUAUUAUGCAGUCUUGAAUAUGUAUAACAUUGUACCACUGGACGACAAAAAGUGUCUUGCAGUGACCGUUUGCAUUUCAAGACAAACUUCGACACAUAAUUCAUAUCCGUUCCGAUCCAUACUUCGUUUUACUGCAAGUAUUAAAGUAGUAUUACAAAUUCUUGGCUUGGGGUUGGCCUUAUAUGUUCCUAAGGCGUGUGUGGGAAAUCAACUAUGAAGCGAUGGGAUUAAAUGUAAGAGUAUAUAUUUCUUUUAUUAUUGAUGAUGAAUGCAGUGUGUAUUUUUACAGUAUUAAUUUUAAAACACAUUGAAAUAGUUUCUUUGGAAAUUAUUCGAAAAAGUUUCACAAUUGUCACAAAUUUGAUGUUUACGACAGUGGCCAUGGAUACUUUAAACAAUCAAUAAUUUGACUUCAAUUUCUUAAACAGAAUAAUGAACACAUUUCUGUUUUUUGAUGUUUUAUUAUAUAAAGUGGCAAAUGUAGAAAAUGUUCGAUUAUUAAAGGGAAGUCUUGCGAAGCAUUUACGAAAGAAUAUAACUCUGUGACGGAGAUUGUUUGUGCGAUAUCACGUUGAAAAGCCUCUAGGGGCGCCGUAACCGUUCCGAAUAUUCCUUCAUGUGCUGUCGUCUAGGAUAUGUAUGAUAUAUUAACUUUUGAACGUCAAGACGUAACAGGUUGAAAUUUCUUACAGUGAACUAUUACCUUGUUAAAUUGCAUGUCAAAAUCAGAAUCAUGCUGCGUGUCGGUCUAGUGCAACAUGUUGUCUAUUUAAUUGAUUUCUUAAAUACGCAUCAUGUGAUGUCUCUUUUUUAUGCAUUAUUAAUAUACUUACCCCUAGGCGUCACCAAAAGUUGAAAUGUGUUCCAGUGCAAUAUUCCAGUGUGAGAGAGAAUAUAAAUAUUUGAUUUGUGUAGUGUCUCGUUCUAUUGGAGUACAUUCCGCAAAAACUAUUAACCCAUUAUAUCGUCCUCAAUUGGUAUAAAACAUAAUCCUAUGAACGUUAAGCAGUAAUCCCUCAGUCAAUGAAAUCAUUUUCACAUUUUUUCUUAAAGUACAAAUCUGUAUAAAUGGUGAUAUUUACAUUAAUCAGUUUCAAGUUUUAGAUAAAUAAAUAACCUGUUAAAAAUAACUUUAAAUCAAUUCUUUGUUCACUAGUUUUUUCCCCAUUAUGUUUAGUCUGUACUAGACCGUGACGUUUAAAUCGAUGUAGCAUGGAAUUUAUUCACCUACAGAUUUUUAAGCAAAAAUAUAUUUAUAAAAAUAUAAUAAUAAUUUUUUCGGGUGAAUGAUCUUAUAGAAUGUUUAGAAAUGACUUAAAUUACACGAAAAAUGUUAUUUUUGUUUUACAUUGAUAUACAUUUUACCAUCUAUUGGCAUGUAUGAGGGCCUCCGUGGGGUACUUAUUAAUAAUGUUUUUAAUUUUUAAGACAAUUUUUCACUAUUCUCAAUUUUGCUUUUCCCAUUACCUCUAUUCUUUUUUGAGAACCCAACUUCUCUAUUGUUUGCCUACUUUUUUCUUUUGAUAUUUUGUUGCAACUUUACUCUGCUCAUGUAGUGUGCACGCCCAUUAUUCUAGGUUAUGUAAAUCCAAUUAAAACCCGACUAAAAUUUAUGCAUAUUAGGUACGAUAACGUAUAUAUAUAUAUACUAAUGUUAUAUAAAUAUGAAUCGUGUUUCAUACCUGGAUAGUUUAAAGCAAUUGUGCAUAAAGUAAAAUAAUGUUCUGCAAUGAGCCAUUUCACUCUUAUAUGUCCUAUAAUGCUUUUCUUGAUAGAGGGCUGCUGCUCAAAAAGAAGCUAUUAAACCAAGAGUUUCAAAUGGUGAAGUUGAAAUCGUCCCUUUGGUAUUUUUACGGACGCCAUCACGAGUUCGUUGACCGUUAUGGAAUAAAUCUUCCACAAAUGAUAUAGGAUACAUUCCUUAUGUCGUAACUACAAUCCUCUUCCCUUUUCACGAAUGUGACCUACCGAAUUAUACUAUUUACCGGAUUUGUAAUAACAUAAACAACACGAUAAGUGCCUCAUGUGGAGCAGGAUCUACUUACCAUUCCGGAGGACAUGAGAUCACCCCAAGUUUUUGGCGGGGUUCGUGUUGUUUAGUCUUCAGUUUUCUAUGUUGUGUCUUGCGUACUUUUACUUGUCUGGUUGUCUUUUUCUUUUUAAGCCAUGUCGCUGUCAGUUUAUUUUCAAUCUAUGAGUUUGACUGUCCCUUUGGUAUCUUUCACCCCUCUUCUACACGGGUUUAUUCCAUUGUCCCACUUUUUAAAAUUCUAGAGUUCUGAUUGUCCCACAUUAUUUUAUGUAGUAAUUUUAUGUAUUGUUUGUUUUGCUACAUAAACAAGAAUUAAUUAUUGCACAUUCAAUAUUAAAUCAUUAGAUUGAUAUAUUUAUACACUUUUGAUUAAAAAAAUAUAAUAUUCCUGAUUUAUGAAAUAUAUCUUUUAAGGUCUUGAAUUUUUUUUAAACCUGAUUUUUGGUUUUUUUUAUGACUCUAGAAAAAAAAUUGGUGUCGAUAGAAUCAAAUGGUGGUGCACUUUAUUGUGCUACGGCCGUUUGAAAGUACCUAAUUCUGAUGAUUUUCCUAGUUUUCAUCACAUUUUACCAUUUGUUUGCCUAUUAUCAUGAAAAAAACACAGUUUCACAAUUAGACUUUUUUUCAUACUUUCAAUAAAGAUAGAAUGGGACCAAUCUCAAUAGAUCUAACUUGAAAUACUAGAAGUAGGUGUUAAUAUAAGAAAGUUUUAUAAAAUUUUACUGCUUUUUGUGACAAAUUGACCAUGCUGUCAUUUUUUGUCUAUUUUAGAUUUUUCUCUUUUUUAGAACAAAAAUCUUUUUUAUUCAACUUCUUUGUUACAAAUGAUUGAAUAAAUACAUAUAAGAGAGCUUUGAAAAGAAAAAAAUUGAAUGCUUUUGGUAACAUCAUUUCUGGUAUCCGCACCCAUUUUCUGUAAAUUUGCUGCUGUCUGGAAUUUUGCCAGAUCCUUUCCAAGAAGCACUAUUUAAGGCUGUUUUUCCAAUUUUACCAUUGUUUUUGCAGUCCACAGGACUCUUCCCCAACUAUAAAGAAGAGCAAACUUCCAUAAAAAAAUAAGAUGUGGUAUGAUUGCCAAUGAGACAACUCUUCGAAAGAGACCAAAAUGACACAUAAACUAACAAUUAUAGGUCACCAUAUGGCCUUCAACAAUGAGGAAAUACCAUACCACAUAGGUUAAAAAAAGCAACAAAAUGACGAAUUUAAAACAAUUCAAAUGAGAAAACUUAUAGCAUUAUCAAUGUACAAAAUAUUGAACGAAAAAACAAAUAUGUUACACAGCAACAAACUACCACCACUGAAAUAAAGAUUCCUGACUUGUGGCAUCACCACAACAAAGACACUAAGUACAGAUCUGAGAGUACUUACAGUUACUGACCGCUUAUUCAGCGCCAAAACAAACUACAUAGAAAACAAAACAUGCAUCUAAGACUAUUUUUUUAAAGACUUCAUAUACUAUUAUAUAAUAUUAUAUAAUAUUAUAUGAUGCUUCAAUUGAUCCUACUACGAGUAAAAUAAAAUAUGUAAAUAUUAUUUGUUCUUAUUUUUAUUAUAUUUUAUAAUUUACAUUGAUCAUGUUGAUUAAUAACUUUUGAUUAGUUUCAAAACCCUAUAAAACCAAUUUAAUCACUUUAGAAACAGCUCCAAUUGUCCCACAUUUAAACUUCCUAAUUAUCCCACAAACAUAUUUCUGAUUGUCCCACAUAAUGUCAUUACUUUUUCACCUGUAAUUUUAAAAUGUGGGACAAUGGUAAGGACACCUCUAUACGAAGGAAUAUUCAGAUUCCGAUCCGAACAUUCCUAAACGCUGCAUUGCGAUGGUAGAAGAAGCCGAUACCAUGUGUUUGAUGAGUUCUAUCAUUGGAUUUUGCCAUUUUAUGAGGGACUCUCCGUUUUGAAUUUUCCUCGGAGUUCAGUACUUUUAUUAUUUACAUUUAUAAAAACAUUAUUGAUUUGAUUUGUGCACGAUACACCCCUCCUUUAACAUCACUAAUGACACACAGCACAUUCCGAUUUUCGGGUAUUUGGUUUGUCCAAAUACGCCCUUUCACACUUGAAGAUCAUACUAGCAUGAGAUUACAAAGGCGAUUGAUUUAAUUGGAAUAGGUUCUUCUUUUUCUCCAGCAGUAUCUCAUGAAUCGUCGAACUUGUGACAAUUAAUCUAUUAUGUUGUUACUAUUGACAUAAUUGAGGUCAAGUUUGAUAUUGACGAUUUUCACUUUUUUUCUCAUAGUAGGUUUUUUUUUGAAAAGGAAAAAUUUUCAAAUUCUGAUUAGUUUUUACUGAUGAUAAACCUAACUAUUGCGGUCCAAGAGUUAUUUCCCUUCUUGGCGUUCAAUUGAUUUUAAGAGGAAUGAGAACACGGUGUGUUGCCAUCUGUACAGCCUCUGUUUCAGAAUAUUAAUACGAGUAUAGUAUCCUUAAUGAGUAGAUUGAUGCAAAUGCAGUUUUUGUGCUUUAGGGAUCAGGAUACAAAUAAAAGUUACAUAUUCCCUGAUUAAUUUCAGUAUUCAAAUAAUGUAUGAUGCUUCUACUUCUCGAAGGAUAGUUUUCCACAUUUUUAGUUUGAUUUGAACUAAUCUCUAGCGUUAUUAAGAGACAAACAAGUUCGUAAAAGUCCAUAAGACGUCAAAGCAACCUCUGACUAAAUUUUGGAAAGUGUAAAAAUAAAAACUACAAUUCUUUUUUUUAUAUUUUUAAUAUACAAUUGAUAGGUUUAUAUAAGGAUCGGAUGUUUUUGCUUUUCUAAUCCAAACAAGUCAUUUAAUCUGUGAUUGCAGCUAUGAUCGAUGCCAUUGAUUUUAUCAAACCCUUCUUGUAGAAAAUGCCAUAGUAUAGUCAUAUACACAAUGUACAUUGUAAUGCUUGGAAUUAUAUCUUGUGACAAAAAUGUGUACCGGAAGUUAAUAAUCCAAACAAUUGGUCUCACGAUCCAAAUAACACACAUCAUGAACAACAAGUUGUAUCUGUGUACCAUAACAUUUUUGUCACACGUCAUACACUGAUGGUGAUGCGGGCCUGACAGAGGUCAAUCAAGAUACAAUGGGGACAUACAUUGGAGUUGUAUAUAUAUUUGCUGGUGGAAAAUUAGUAAACAUAAGUCUUUGCCGAUCUUGCAACAUAUUUUGUCGCGGGUGUGAUGUGUACAAGAUUCACGUAUCAACAUUUUGUUAAUAGAUGUUUCAUGUAAUAAAUUUUGAAGAACAUGUAUAUUUAUAUUAUGUUGCUGAAUCUUUUAAUGAUAAUUCUAAUUCUUUAGAUGAUAAUCAAAAGUUAGUGUUUUUAUUCUCAGAUGUAAAUAUGAUACGUGUGAGUGCCAAAACCUGUCAUUUGAUUUUAAAAAAAACGUAGAAAUUUUAUAUAUAAUUGUAAAUAGGAUUUUAUUUCAUAUUGUGUAUUAUAUCUAUGCAUUUUAAUAGUCUCUUAUAAUUCUGUAUAGAAUGGCUCUCAUUUUAUUUAGUGUUAUUUUACAAUGUAUAAAGAUUGAUUGUACUUGUUGAGAGAUGAGACUUUAAUAAAACAUUGAAUUGAAUUGUAUAUGUUACUUGAAUGAAAAAGAAAUAUAAAAGACUUGACCAUAGUUUCGCCUCAACGAGAACGUAAACUUCAAUGCAUUUGUAUUACACUAUCAAAAUCACAAAAAAAAAAAAAAGCGAGAUGUUGUUUUUGGUAUAAAGUUCAUUAAAAAGAAAAAUCACUAACAAAAACUCGGUGGAAACUUCAAAAAGGAAAGUCCUUAAUCACAUGGCAAAAUCAAAAGCUAAAGCUCAUUAAACGAAUAGAUAUUAACUGUCAUAUUCUUUACCUGGUACAGGCAUUUUCUUACGUAGAAAAUGGUAGAUAUCAGCAGUAUAUCACGGAUUCACAAUACAUUUUCUAAACAACAAUAUACAUUUAUUCCUAAUCGAUUCUAAACAGUAAGACACACACUGUUAUUGAUCAGUACAACGGAAACAGGGGUUGUGUUUGAACUACAUAACGGACACUCUUAUUCUAUUAACACAGUUUGUUCAUUUCUUUUAUUAAAGUUGACAGUUAAUCAUAUGAGUUCUCUCAAUAUUAUCAUAAAAAAAUAAAUAUAUCAAACGUCACAAUACCUUGACAAAGGACCAAAUAAUCUCCAUGAAAAUAAGUGCGUCAGUGCUACUAUCAGUGACUAUUUUUACCUUAAGCAGUUUCCGUUUACCCGACACAAUCGCACAUUCAACAACCGUUGUCGCCAGCGGCACGUUUGGCGGAAACUAAAAUCAUUAGUUUUUUCUCACAUGCUAGUGGACUAUCCCCUUUCCAGCCUGCCAUAUUAACUGUGAACAGUGAUCAAUUAACCAAAUACAAAAACAAAUUAUUUUUUAAAUGAUCACUGGAAGAGGCAUGACUUACUUGUUAGAUCAGUGUUAAGUUCGGUAUUUUUGUGGUUUUACUUUUUAGUCAAUGGAUCUAUAUGUUUAUAUGGAUUGUCAAGAUAAUGGAAUUGCAUACGACCGUCACACAAAUAAAUGGUUUAGUUAGCUAUAAAGCCCAGUCUUAUUCGCCAUUUUCUACAUAAAACAUGCCUGUACCAAGUAAGGAAUAUAUUACAGUUAUUAUCCAUUCGUUUGACAUGUUUGAGCCUUUGCCCUUGCCAUUUGAUAAGGGACUUUCCCUUUUAACUUUUCCUCGGAGUUCGUUUUUUGUGUGUGUGGUUUUUUUUUAAUUUUAACGUUAUUUACAAACUUUAAAAACAACAUGUAACAAUUAAAUAGGCUAAACUGUUUGUAAUCAGAUUACUUCACGAAGUAUCUUAUUUAAAACAAAAUUUAGUUUCUGCAUAAAUAAAAGAAAAGUUUAUGUAUUUUUUGUAAUUUUUUGUAAUUGGUUUUCAGGCUGAAAAUUUUAAUGUUCAACAUGUAAACAUCGUGUAGUUUGAAGGAAAUGCAAAGACGUAUGCCUUUUCCAAUUGAAGGAAGCCCCUUUAUCAGUAUGUAAAAGCCUUUGUGGAUUAUCAGAAAAAAUUACUCAUUAGGUUUUUAUCAAAUAAUGAGCGAGUCAUCAACCUCACAAAACUUGGAGAGUGUUUUUAUAGGCUACGCAUGUUGCUCAAUCCCUUUUAUAUCUUAAUGAAUAAAAUAUGUUUUAAAUCAAAAUCACAAAACUCGGAAUUAUACACUAAGUUACCUUGUUGACCACUAGACACGCAUGUCGAUACGUUCCACAGCAGGAUAAAGGUGACAGGAGCAUAAACUAAAACAUAUUCCAAAACACAGCAUACAAAACAACUGUUGUAUUUAACCAUAGAUACAAGUCCUCUCAGUAUAUUCUCAUCUGUUUGUUUUACAGCGUAUUCAGAAUAGAAUAAGUCAAACUUGUGGAACUCAAUGUUGUGAUGCUGGCUGCUAAAGCUGUGACAACCUCCUAUUACGAUAACUAGAAGCAAUACUAAAGAUAUGUAAACUCCAUAUAUAAAUGUACUGAGUCUGGUUCUUAAUUCCUCUUUUGACCAUUCUGUCAUAGAUAUUACGCCAAGUGUAAGAAUAAAACAGGCGACGGGAAAUGAGUAGCUAUCUAAUACGAAUGGACUGAUUCCAUAUAAUAGAUAUGUUGAUUUAAGCCAGGUCAUGAACGCAAAGCUUUCAUGAAAAAAUCCAAUUAACAAAACAAGAAAUAAACUGUUUGAAAAUUUGUGAUUUUGCUUCAAAAAUUUAAUCGGAAGUGCCAUCAGUAUGAUUCCAAAUACCAUAGUUAAAACAAUACUCGAUAGUUGGAAAUAUUGAAAGACACUACUGGACGAGAUGAUUGAUGAAAAGUCGGACAUUUUUUUCUUUUCCGUCUUGUUAUGGCUUGAAUACUGAUCUAAUUUCACUUGAAUAAGACAAUAAGUCAGAACUUAGUUAUAUCAGUGGAGAUUUCAAGACUCUGAAAAUUUUAAUAUCCAGCUCACGGAAAUUCUUGCCGUUUGAUUACUUAAGAACGUUCAUACACAUUCGUCACAACUCGGCUGAUUCCGUACCUUGAUACUUACGGAGAGUAGCGGAUUCAUCCGAGGAUUGCCGAUUGGUUUAUUACAGUCAAGGUAACAUUUUGAAAAGUUUGGAGUAAGACUAAUGUGUCAGCUAGUAAGUAGAUUCCAAUAUUUCCCGAAGAAUUAUUAUCU